GUAUCCUCUCAAGUACUUCAUGGAAUCAGCAUAUAUGUUUUAAGUGUUCUAGCUUAGCUGACACAUCAUAUAUAUGAUAUCCACUUUUUCCUAAUUGGAGAUUACUUGAGUGAUCUUUGUACUCUCAACUCAGUCAUGGCUCUGUAGCGCUCUAGGCCCACAGUGUCACAAGCCAUGCGCAGUGUCUCUAAUUUUUUUUAUUUGUUGAAAAGAUAACAAAGGUUAUGUAAUAUGUACUGCUAUUACAAUAACAACAACAACAUACCUACUGUGAUCCCACAAGUGGGGUCUGGGAGGUACGCAGAUCUUGCCCCUACAUUGUGUGAGGUAGAGAGUUUGUUUCCGAUAGACCCUCGCUAUGUAAUAUGGACAGAUAUUACAUAGCAAAAAAGAUUAGUCCCAUUCUUUUCUUGAGGGACUCUAUGAGAUUCUAUCAAUGAUUCAGUUUCAGCUUCAUUUACAAUUUCAUUUUUACAUAAAAAUUAUUACAUUCCUCUAUCUCCAAACAGUCCACUAUAUACUUGCAAGAAUGGUAUUCCACCAUUUCUGGACUAAUACAACUUUGGCACCCAAGGGUGUGGCCUAGUGGUCAAUGAAGUAGGUUAAAAACCAUGUGGUCUCAGGUUCAAAUUCUAGCGGAGGAAAAAAUACUAGGUGAUUUCUUCCCAGUUGUCUAAGCCAUGUGGAUAGAGUUACUUAGUACCUGUGCUGGUAGGAGGUAGCAGGUACCUCUGGAAUUAGUCGAGGUGCUCGCAAGUUGGCCCUGACACCAUGGUUGUAAAAAAAAUGAUAUUCCACCAUUUCUUUUAUCUCCUUUGCUUUAUUUUUUCCCCCAGCAUUUGAGUAGUUCAUUGGUGCUCCUAGGCAUCACCCCUUUAAUGCUUACCAUAUUCAUAAACAACUGUUACCAAUUAUCCAUAAUAGGCAAUGGAGGAAGAGAUGAUUUAGUGUCUCUGGUUUUCCUCCAGAUAAGUUACAUCUGGGACAAAACUGGAAGCUUCUUUUCUACAAUUCUCAUGUGUUGAGCGUGAUUCUUUGGCUAAUAGUCUGGAGAAACAUGCAAUGUUCUUCGUUAUCUCCACCUUUCAUCUCUGUUUUCAGGUCAAGAGACUGCUUGUUGAUCAUCUGAGGUAGAGAGGCAAAGGAUAGCAGGACGUCACUGUAAAGUGUCCUUUACAGUGAGCUUUACUUUAUCUUCGUCCUUGUUAAAACCUUAAAAAUGCUCUAGUGCUUUCAAAAUUUUGCACCCGUGCCUAUUUCCUAGUCAUUCAACCAUCUUCAAAAGUUGAAGUUCCAGCCAUGUUCUUUGUAGGAGCUCAAAGUAGUUUAUGGUUGUCGUAUAUAAGCUUGAAUAUGUCAGCGAACUGUUCUUUCAAGGGACCCAUGCCUUAUCAAUUGUUAUUCCAAAAGGAAACCCUCCUAUCAUUACCCAUUCGGUAUCAAUAUUUGAUCUAAAAGAGGGCCAUAUAUUUUCGAUAUUCCUCCAUACUCCCACUCUAUUGGAGAAGAUGACUGUUUCGAACACCGGGGGCUUUCUUGGCCAUAUUUCAUAGUGAUAACUUCUCUUAAUAGUUCUUGUUCUUCUGAAUUGUAUCUCCGUAGCCUUUUCAUCAGAAGGUUACUAUUAUGCUGCCUCAGAUUCCUGAUCGCCAAUCCUCCUCCUCGGCCAAUAGAUGUAGAGCUCCAUUUGACGGAGUGAAAAGAUCUAUCCUUGUUGCUUUGCCAGAGAAAGUUUCUCCAUAGGGCAUCUAACCUUUUCUUCGCUUUAGCUGUUAACUGGAAUAGUUAUCAUAUAAGUUGGCAUUAAGUCAGGUACAGUAUUAAUCAGGACCAACCUUACACCUCUUUUGCAACCAGUGAGAGGUAUUGACUGUUAUAUUUUGCAAAUCUUUUUUCGCCUCUUUCUAUCCCCUCUUGCCAAGUUUUUUAUGACAUGUUCUUUUCACCUAAAGGGAGCCUCAUCUAGUUGGUAAGCUACCGACUUGACAUUCCAGUAUGCUAGCAUGUAUUCAAACAUUGUGCACUUGAUUCAUAGAGAACAUAAUACUCUUCCUCUAGUCUACUUUUAGGCCAGACAAUUCUUCAAAUAAAGUUAAUAUCAACCUUAAAUGCCUUAUUUGCUCCACACUAGCAUAAAAAAACAAGUGUAUCAUCAACAUAUAAAAAGCAUGGAAUUUCCUUAAUAUUGAAACCAAUGCUAGCCUCUUUAAAGCCCCUUAUCCAUCCACUAUGAUUGGCUAUCCUUAGCAUUCUGUUAAAUCCUUCCAUAACCAAUACUAACAGAAAAGGAGAUAGAUGGUCAUCUAGCCUAAGACCCAUUUGUGAAGGAAAGAAGCCCACAGGAGAACCAUUAAUCAAAACUGAAAAUCUGACCGUGCUGAUAAAGAAGAAUGCCGAUUUAAGCCAUUUCCUACUGAAUCCCAUAUCUUUUAAAAUAUUGAUUAGGAAAUCCCAAUUCACAUGAUCAUGUCUUUACUAGAUCGAACUUGCAAAAUUAUUUUAGGGAUCUUGCCUUUUGUUCUGGUAUCCAUGGACUAGUUAUCUAGUAAGGCAGCGUUCAUGAUCUGCCUCCUGUUGAUGAAUGCCAUCUGGUCUUUGUCAAUUAACUUGUGCAUCCACCCUCUUAAAUCUUCCGGUCAAGAGCUUAGAGAUGAUUUUGUAUGCUCCUCUACAAAACUGAUAGGCACAGAACCCUUCAUUGCCAAGGCUCCAUUCUUUUUUGAGAUAAGAGCAAUGUGUCAUUUAUUCUCUUUUCAAAAUUACCUUGUCCGUAAGAGUACUCCACUGCUUUCAUAAUGUCUCCCUUGAUGAUUGGCCAGCAUGUUUGAUAGAAACUCAAUAGUGUAACUGUCAGAGCCCGGGCUUUGUCACUUGCGCUGAUUUGGAUGGUCUCUGGUACUUCCACUCCUCCAAAAGGACCUUGUAACCAUGUUGUCUUCCUCUUCACUGAUUCUUGGACAUUCAUUUAUGUUGAACCUUGCUCCAUCAAGUUCUAAUUGAACUCUAAGAUCUCUCUUCUGAUGGCCUUUGGAUCUUCCUCUAUUUCUCCGUUAAUAUCCAACUUGCCAAUGGUAUUUUAUCUCUGCGAACAGUAGUCAUUACUGGGACAAACUUAGUGUUCUUGUCACCUUAUAUCACCCGAAGAACCUUAGAAAUAUCUGCUGAUAUUUUGUAACAUGUUCAACUCCCAAAUACACUAGCUUUUAGGAUCAAUUCCUCCUUAGUAUGUAGCCUUUGUUCAUGUAUUUUAUCCAACACAGACUUUUACUUCAUAAGUCUGAUUUUCUCUCUAGACUGCCAAUGUUGUUGGUAUUCUCACUCGACCAAUUUUGCUUUCAAAAAUUUCAGUUUCUAAUCAGGCUUACGUGCUACCAUAAAGGAGUUCCACGAAUCUUUUAUCUUCUCUUUAAGACCUUCAACCUCUAUAAAUACCUCUUUUCCCCACAUUGGAGUAGUUUAGGAUUAUAACUGGAGGCAAUUCUUGGAAGUGCAGACAACUUGAUGUACCUAAACUCUUCGUCCUAUUUUGUUGUGGAAAGGAAUCUGUCCAAUCUUGAGGAAAGAUGAUGAUAAUUGCCCUUCACCCAAGGGCCCACACAUAGACUUCUGGUUGCUCAUUGCCUACCGAAGUUCCUAAUUCGGAUUGGCAAUGAGGCUUACUGGUGAUCUCAAGAUGGUGCAACAUAGAAAAUGGAUAGUCAGAGAGCAGCUCGAGCGAAGCUCUGCAAACGCCUGCGGCAUCUGAUGACUAACUGCUUUGAUAUGUAAUCUUGAAAGGAUUUCAGCGAGAAUAUCUGAUGGUAUGUAUGUUAUGAUACUUCUAUCAGUCAUUUUUGUACUUUAAUUAUCGAACAACUAUUGGGAUUGA